CAUAAGCUUGCGCUGAUUACGUCCCUGCCCUUUGUACACACCGCCCGUCGCUACUACCGAUUGAAUGGUUUAGCAAGGUCAUCGGAUUGGCGCCAUUAUGGUUGCUCGCCAGCCUGUUGGUGCUGAAAAGACGACCGAGCUUGAUCAUUUAGAGGAAGUAAAAGUCGUAACAAGGUUUCCGUAGGUGAACCUUCGGAAGGAUCA
rnacentral:rRNA from 1 species